rnacentral:tRNA from 1 species
AGAAAUAUGUCUGAUAAAAGAAUUACUUUGAUAGAGUAAACUAUGGAGGUCUAA